rnacentral:lncRNA from 1 species
GGAAGUCUUGGACUGGCGUGGUUACACGUGGUCUGCGGUUGUGAGGCCGGUUGGAUGUACUGCCAAAUUCACUAAAACAACGUUGGAGGUGGCUUAUGGAUUCCUCUAUGGACUCUCCUUGUUCAUUGUGUUCGCUGGAAGCUACGUUGAGCGCUUAAGGAGGCUCGUGUGUGCCAGGUUCCACCCGAAACGAGAACGGGAGCGGGUGCAGCUCCUCCACAGGAGGAUCCAGUCUCUAGGUAAAGCCCUGAUGAGGUCUGUAGCCAGGAAUAGGGCAGAAGGAGAGGGACCCAGAUUCCUCCAGACACUCACAACCUGGUAAAAUGAAUGUCAGUUUCACCUAAUUCUCCCAUUCUUGAAGCCAUUUCGCAUCUUUUCACCAUGUUAGUAUUUUAACUAGUGCAUUUUUUUUGCCCGUG